rnacentral:rRNA from 1 species
GAACGAACGCUGGCGGCGUGCUUAAGACAUGCAAGUCGAACGGUAAGGCCCCUUCGGGGGUACACGAGUGGCGCACGGGUGAGUAACGCGUGGGUAAUCUACCGCCGGACCGGGACAACUCCGGGAAACUGGAGCUAAUACCGGAUGAGACCACGAGAUCCCCGGAUCUCGCGGAAAAAGGAUGGCCUCUGCUUGCAAGCUAUCGCCUGACGAUGAGCCCGCGUCCCCAUUAGCUAGUUGGUGAGGUAACGGCUCACCAAGGCAGUGAUGGGUAGCUGGUCUGAGAGGAUGAUCAGCCACACUGGGACUGAGACACGGCCCAGACUCCUACGGAGGCAGCAGUCGGGAAUUUUGGGCAAUGGGCGAAAGCCUGACCCAGCAACGCCGCGUGAGGGAUGAAGGCCUUCGGGUCGUAAACCUCUGUCGGGAGGGAAGAAUGUCCUCGGGGUGAACAAUCCCGGGGCUGACGGUACCUCCAAAGGAAGCGCCGGCUAACUCCGUGCCAGCAGCCGCGGUAA